rnacentral:tRNA from 1 species
GCAAGAAGAAGCCCAGGUUUCUAACCUUCGGCUUAAGCGGUUAAAAUCCGUUUCUAUCCUUACU